rnacentral:lncRNA from 1 species
GUCAAUCUAUGAUCUACUCUACUCAUAAACAGGAGAUUAUAAAUAAAUCUAUCUUUUAAAUUUAAAACUCAUUCCAGAUGCACAUGCAAUAAUGCUCAUAAAAAAAUCAAAUAGAAAUAAAAAGUCUCAAAAGACUCUUUACAAAAUGUGAGAUUAGCAGUAAAACAACCAUACUGUCAUCUCUUUACCACUUUACCAGGAAGUCUCUAAUCACCAAUCUUAAACCGAAAUCGCAACAAAAUCUCAGCUAAUAAAAUUGGUAACGAAAAAAGAUAAUAAAACCAACAAUAUUUCAAAACAAAAUCUAAAGGAACGAAAAUACAACAAGAAUUUUAAUGUUUAAUGUCUUUUCCUCAUAAUAGUCUCUCUGCUUCUUUUGCUUAAGAAUCACACUCCGUAAUGACAAAAGAAACCAGAAAAAUAUGAAGAAACAAAAAUUGGAAAUUCAAACGACAAGAGUUACCAACUAAGAUCAUUAAUCGCAGGGUGUAGUUCAUGUUGUUGUAUGGCGCGUGAACGGUGACGGCAGAGUCACAUCCAUGGUAAAACAACAGGGCUUUGUUAUUUUGCUUUACCCACUUUGGCACAUCCUUUUUGAUUAAGAAAAUUGAUCUAACGAAUUCACUUGGUGGUUGUGAGUUGUUGCCAGAAAACAGAUCGCGGCGGAGAUGUGAAGAAGAAUAGGAUGGCAGAUCUGAAGUGGUGGUUCGUGGUUGACGCUCGACGGAGAGAGUACCGGCGGUGAAUAGUGAGGUAGAUGAGUUUAAUGGGGGUGAUGGUGAACGGCGGUUUGGGAUGGUGAGGAAACCGCGGCGGAGGUGCGGCAGAAGGGUUCGCGACAGUGGAAGUGAGAGGACGACGAAGAAGGUUCUACGUGUCGUUAAAAGAAGAAUAUCCGGUUGGAGUUGUUAUGUGGCAUUUUUGUAGCGUUUCCGACGGGUGUGUUGGUGUGCGGUGGGUUUUGUUGAUGUUUUGACGUUGUUAUUUUUGACGCGAGUGACAAUUAGUAACAUUAAUUUGUUGUGUCGUUAAUGUUAAAAUAGAGUAUGGAGUUUUUUCAUCAUUGGGUUGAAUGGGAUUUUGAGGAAUUUUUUUAAUGUUUUUGUAAGUGAAGAAAGAAGGUAUGAGGGAAUGAUGAGGAAUUCGGCCGGUGUGAUGGUGGUUUACGGUUGCGUUAAAGUGUCGGUGUCGCGGACGGUGAGAAAAUGAGGGAUGGGUCGUAAAUGGAGUUUUGGAAAGGAAAUGGAAGGGUUUCACCGGAAACAGAGGGAGAGGAAUGGUUGAAGGAGAAGAUAAUUUUGUUUCAAUUCACUGUAUGUUUUUUUCUUUUUUACGUGUAGCGGUAAAUUCAUGACCAUUAAGCUAUCGAUAAACUUAACGUCAAUAAAACCAGAGUCG